AUACACAUGCAGUAUAUAUAUGUAAUAUAUGUAUAUUAUACUGUAUGUAUACAUUUUCCUAAACAUUCAGCAUAGGGUAUAUAAUAACAUUCAUAAAUUCUUAAAAUAUAAUCUAAUUCAUAUUAAGGUUUGUCAAAGGAAAAGAAGUUAGUGAGGAAGAGCUGAAAGAAACUCAGAAUGAUAAAGAAGACAGAGCUAUAGAAGAAGUAAGAAGAAAUAAAGAACAGAGGAAGGAAAUUUAGAAAGAAAUGGGAGAGAGAAGAAAUGCAAAGAUGGGGAAGAGAGACAGUGCUCUAGGGAAAAUUCAUCAUGAAAAUAGAAGAGAACAAGACUGUCUGAAUGAGGGAAGGAUAGAGUACAUUUUCUUAGAUCCUGAGGUCAAUUUUAAUGAGUUAACUUGUUUUUGUUUUGUGGCCACAGACCAGUUAUUUAUUUGAACAGUAGGUUUUAAAUUUUACUCAUACCUCGGAAAUGCUCACUGCAUGCCAAUCCACUGUUCUCUGAUUUUUUAAAACUGUUUGUCUUUAAAUGUUCAGAGAUGCCUUGAAGAAAGAGAUCCUAACAGUCUGUAGGGAGAGAGUAAUUUCCUGGGCUGCUGAGAGUAUGCCUAAAAUAUUAAUUUAGGAAUAGAAUAAAAUCAAACUGGAAACUACUCUGGCCUUUGCACUGGAGCUGACAUUUGUUAUGGAAGAUACAUUCCUCUAGAACUGCACCUCCCGCCCCCAACCAAACACACACAUUAAAAAAAACAAAAA